rnacentral:rRNA from 1 species
CCUACGGGAGGCAGCAGUGAGGAAUAUUGGUCAAUGGACGAGAGUCUGAACCAGCCAAGUAGCGUGAAGGAUGACUGCCCUAUGGGUUGUAAACUUCUUUUAUAUGGGAAUAAAAUGUUCCACGUGUGGGAUUUUGUAUGUACCAUAUGAAUAAGGAUCGGCUACCUCCGUGCCAGCAGCCGCGGUAAUACGGAGGAUCCGAGCGUUCUCCGGAUUUAUUGGGUUUAAAGGGAGCGUAGGUGGAUUGUUAAGUCAGUUGUGAAAGUUUGCGGCUCAACCGUAAAAUUGCAGUUGAAACUGGCAGUCUUGAGUACAGUAGAGGUGGGCGGAAUUCGUGGUGUAGCGGUGAAAUGCUUAGAUAUCACGAAGAACUCCGAUUGCGAAGGCAGUUCACUGGACUGCAACUGACACUGAGGCUCGAAAGUGUGGGUAUCAAACAGGAUUAGAUACCCGAGUAGUC